AUUGAACGCUGGCGGAAUGCUUUACACAUGCAAGUCGAACGGCAGCACGGGGCAACCUGGUGGCGAGUGGCGAACGGGUGAGUAAUACAUCGGAACGUGCCCAGUCGUGGGGGAUAACGUAGCGAAAGUUACGCUAAUACCGCAUACGAUCUAUGGAUGAAAGCGGGGGAUCGCAAGACCUCGCGCGAUUGGAGCGGCCGAUGUCAGAUUAGGUAGUUGGUGGGGUAAAGGCCUACCAAGCCGACGAUCUGUAGCUGGUCUGAGAGGACGACCAGCCACACUGGGACUGAGACACGGCCCAGACUCCUACGGGAGGCAGCAGGGGGGAAUUUUGGACAAUGGGCGCAAGCCUGAUCCAGCCAUUCCGCGUGCAGGAUGAAGGCCUUCGGGUUGUAAACUGCUUUGUUACGGAACGAAAAGGACUCUGGUUAAUACCCGGGCGUCAUGACGGUACCGUAAGAAUAAGCACCGGCGUAACUACGUGCCAGCAGCCGCGGUAAU
rnacentral:rRNA from 1 species